GAGUUUGAUCCUGGCUCAGAAUGAACGCUGGCGGCGUGCUUAACACAUGCAAGUCGAACGAUGAACCUUAGCUUGCUAAGGGGAUUAGUGGCGCACGGGUGAGUAAUAUAUAGAUAACGUACCUCUUAGUUUGGGAUAGCCAUUGGAAACGAUGAUUAAUACUAGAUACUCCUUCUGAUUCUAAUAUCAGUCGGGAAAGUUUUUCGCUAAGAGAUCGGUCUAUAUCCUAUCAGUUAGUUGGUGAGGUAAUGGCUCACCAAGGCAAUGACAGGUAGCGGGUUUGAGAGGAUGAUCCGCCGCACUGGUACUGAGACACGGACCAGACUCCUACGGGAGGCAGCAGUGAGGAAUAUCGCACAAUGGGCGAAAGCCUGAUGCAGCAACGCCGCGUGGAGGAUGACGCAUUUCGGUGUGUAAACUCCUUUUAUAUGCCAAGAAAAUGACGGUAGCAUAUGAAUAAGCACCGGCUAACUCCGUGCCAGCAGCCGCGGUAAUACGGAGGGUGCAAGCGUUAUUCGGAAUCACUGGGCGUAAAGGACGCGUAGGCGGGUUGCCAAGUCUGAUGUGAAAUCCUAUGGCUUAACCAUAGAACUGCAUUGGAAACUGGUGACCUAGAGUAU
rnacentral:rRNA from 1 species